rnacentral:rRNA from 1 species
AGCGAACGCUGGCGGCAGGCCUAACACAUGCAAGUCGAACGAACCUUUCGGGGUUAGUGGCGGACGGGUGAGUAACACGUGGGAACGUGCCUUUAGGUUCGGAAUAACUCAGGGAAACUUGUGCUAAUACCGAAUGUGCCCUUCGGGGGAAAGAUUAAUCGCCUUUAGAGCGGCCCGCGUCUGAUUAGCUAGUUGGUUGAGGUAAUGGCUCACCAAGGCGACGAUCAGUAGCUGGUCUGAGAGGAUGAUCAGCCACAUUGGGACUGAGACACGGCCCAAACCCCUACGGGAGGAAGCAGGGGGGAAUCUUGCGAAAGGGGGGAAAGCCUGACGCAGCCGUGCCGGGUGAAUGAGGAAGUUCUUAGAAUUGAAAAUUUCUUCCACCGGGGAGGAAAAGGACGGUACCGGGAAAAGAAGCCCCGGCUAACUUCGUG